CAAAUUAGCUCAGGAUGAAUUAGAUAAGCUAAUAGAUAUAUGAUUGUGCACAAUAUUUGAUUGACUUAUAUACAUACGGAGGAUCGAAUCUACAUCAAGGAUCACACUAUCCAGAUUUACUCCGGUAAAUUUUGUUUAACAACUUUUUGAUUAAUAUGGCAUGUAUAGGUGUUGAUUCGAUAAUGUAAUUGUGUGAAUGAUUAAAUAUGUAAAGUAUGUUGAAUGUG